rnacentral:rRNA from 1 species
GCACAAGCAGCGGAGCGUGCGGUUUAAUCGAUGAUACACGAAGAACCUUACCCAGGCUUGACAUGUUGGUGGUAGGGAUCCGAAAGGUGACCGACCCUUCGGGGAGCCUAUACAGGUGUUGCAUGGCUGUCGUCAGCUCGUGUCGUGAGAUGUUCGGUUAAGUCCGCUAACGAGCGCAACCCUCGUCGUAUGUUAUAUGUGUCAUACGAGACUGCCGGUAAAAGCCGGAGGAAGGUGAGGAUGAUGUCAAGUCAGCAUGACCUUUAUAUCCAGGGCUACACACACGCUACAAUGGUCUGUACAAUGGGUAGCCAAGCCGCGAGGCGGAGCCAAUCCUGAAAGCAGGCCUCAGUUCAGAUUGCAGUCUGCAACUCGACUGCAUGAAGCCGGAGUUGCUAGUAACCGCAGGUCAGCAAUACUGCGGUGAAUACGUUCCCGGGUCUU